rfam:Camelus ferus unplaced genomic scaffold scaffold764, whole genome shotgun sequence.
GGGGAUGUAGCUCGGUGGUAGAGCACAUGCUUAGCAUGCAGGGGGUCCUGGGUUCAAUCCCCAGUGCCUCCA